rnacentral:ncRNA from 2 species
AUAGUACCCGUCUGAAACACGGAUUAGGGAGUUUAUCUGUAGUGCGAGUCUUUGCACGUUAACUGUAAAGGCGUAGAGAAAGCAACUGGCGUUUGCAUGGCUACUGAGCAUUACUGAUAGGACCCGAAAGGUGGUGAACUUUGCCUGCACAGGUUGAAGUCAGGGGAAACUCUGAUGGAGGACCGUACGGGUUAUUGAUGUGCAAAUCAUUUUUCUGAUGUAGGUAAAGGUGCGAAAGACUCAUCGAACCACUAAUAGCUGGUUUCCUCCGAAGUUUCCCUCAGGAUAGCUGUAAUGCAUUUAGUUAAGGGGAGUAGAGAUAUGGGUAGAGGUGCAGGGAGCCUUCGGGUUCUCAACUUAUUUCCAAACUUCGAACCUCCUUGUUAGGCAUUUACCUAACUGGAAAUGCUUAAAUGAAUUAGCGUUACAAGUGGGCUCUGACCGGUAAGCGGUCAUGGCGAAAUGGGAUGAACCAUACGUCUGAAUAAGGUGCCGAAAUGUACUAUCACUGAUACCAUAAAGGGAGUCCAUGUAUUUAGACAGCAGGUCGGUGCCCCUAAAAGCAGGUAUCCGCUAAAGAGUGUGUUAAAACUCACCUGCCGAAUACUAGGGCCCCGAAAAUGAAUGGCGCAUAUAGUACUACCGAUCUCAGACAUCAGUUCUAUUGAACUGAGAGUAGGGGGAUGUGGACAUUUUUGUGAAGGUGCAAUGUGAGUUGGACUGGAAGAAUGUCUAUUACAGAUCCUAAUUGAAGUAGCGAUUAUCCAGGCUUGUAUCCUGGGGGCUGAUGAGGAGUAGGGUUUCUGGACAACUUAAACAGAUCCAGAGUUAGUCGAUCCUAAUCUCAAUAAUGGGAGAAAGGGAGUACAGUUGAUAUUCUGUAACUGACAACAGUUCGCGGCAACGCAUACUAUUUUUCUCCGCCAAUCUUAUACCGUUGGUAGGGAUCUCUUUCCUACAUGACAGUACUAAUACCCAGGGAAACUGGUCAUCAGGCGAACUGCGGCGUUCUGCUGGCAAAACAUAGCUUCGGUUAUGUC